rnacentral:rRNA from 1 species
CCUACGGGAGGCAGCAGUGAGGAAUAUUGGUCAAUGGACGAGAGUCUGAACCAGCCAAGUAGCGUGAAGGCUGACUGGCCUAUGGGUGGUAAACUUCUUUUAUAUGGGAAUAAAAUGUUCCACGUGUGGGAUAUUGUAUGUACCAAAUGAAUAAGGAUCGGCUAACUCCGUACCAGCAGCCGCGGUAAUACGGAGGAUCCGAGCGUUAUCCGGAUUUAUUGGGGUUAAAGGGAGCGUAGGUGGAUUUUUAUGUCAGUUGUGAAAUUUUGCGGCUCAACCGUAAAAUUGCAGUUGAAACUGGCAGUCUUGAGUACAGUAGAGGUGGGCGGAAUUCGUGGUGUAGCGGUGAAAUGCUUAGAUAUCACGAAGAACUCCGAUUGCGAAGGCAGUUCACUGGACUGCAACUGACACUGAGGCUCGAAAGUGUGGGUAUCAAACAGGAGUAGAUACCCCUGUAGUC